GAGUUUGAUCGUGGCUCAAAUUGAACGCUGGCGGCAUGCCUUACACAUGCAAGUCGAACGGCAGCAUGAUCUAGCUUGCUAGAUUGAUGGCGAGUGGCGAACGGGUGAGUAAUACAUCGGGAACGUGCCCUGUAGUGGGGGAUAACUAGUCGAAAGAUUAGCUAAUACCGCAUACGACCUGAGGGUGAAAGUGGGGGACCGCAAGGCCUCAUGCUAUAGGAGCGGCCGAUGUCUGAUUAGCUAGUUGGUGGGGUAAAGGCCCACCAAGGCGACGAUCAGUAGCUGGUCUGAGAGGACGAUCAGCCACACUGGGACUGAGACACGGCCCAGACUCCUACGGGAGGCAGCAGUGGGGAAUUUUGGACAAUGGGCGAAAGCCUGAUCCAGCAAUGCCGCGUGUGUGAAGAAGGCCUCGG
rnacentral:rRNA from 1 species